rnacentral:lncRNA from 1 species
AUGUCUUUUGAAAGCACUGGAAACAGGCUGACACUUCCCAUUGAAACUGCCAGAACGUGGCUGCUUGGUCUCUCUGAACCAGGAAACGCUCAGAGGGCUGAAGGCAGUGUGAAUCAGGCUGACAUUCCUGUGGCCAAGGCUCAGGCAGCAGUAUCUAGGGAGAAAAAUGACCAGAAUUUCCAUGCCAAGGAGGAGAGACAGAUGGGCUGUGGGCUCCCUUCCAGUAGAGGAGACAUUGACUUUGGCUUCAAUAUCCUGAUUAGACUACAGUGAGCACUUGCUGAUGCUAGUUUCUCAGAUAUAAGUAAAGUAUUUAAUUUGGUUUUGUUGGUGUUUUUAUGUUUGUUUUAUAUUUUUGUUUGAUUAUUUGUUUUAUUUCUACAGCACUGAGCUCAGGUUUGCAUUGAAUUAUUUAUGAAGUCCACAAGAUCUCAUUCCUGACUCAUAAUAAACACCUCAGCACCUAC